UACAGUUGGUAAACAGAGAAACUGUCAGUUCAAUGUGGAAGCUGUGUUGGUUCAUAAGUGAUUUUUCCUAGGUAAGAGAAGCCAGAAGAGUGGAAGCUAUACUAUGACUUUCAAGCAGGAAACGAAAAAGCCCUUAGCUCAUGCUGUGCUGGCAGGAGCCCUUUCAGCUUUAAGAAAAUUAAAGGACAUGCUGGAGGAACUGAAGGGUAAUGACAAACCCUGCAUCUUCUUUGGACAAUUUUACUUCAGCUCUUUUAUUUUGGAGCUAUUUUUUGUUGCCAUAGGGGUUAAGGAUUCACAUAAAGGAAAAAAAAAUGUCUUCUAAGCCAUUAAAGAUUUAGGGGGGAAACUGUU